rnacentral:lncRNA from 1 species
ACCAACGAUGGUUCAUAAUGACGUACACGAUGCAUUUAAAUUCGUCGCAACCGGUAUGAGCACAGGAAUUUAUCGAGCAGUCAGCUGAUUUUACGUAUCUACAUAUACUGACGUAUAAGAUCUUUAAAUGAUCAUAAAAAUAAGGGCACCCGAAAUUCUAUUGAAAAAAGUAAUCAAGAUAUGAGGUUUUACAAAAAGACUUACAAAAGACGAAUGCAUGAACAUUAGUACAAAUGAUAUUAGAUAGAAAAUUCUGUUCAUUGAUCUACGUUGACUGAAAUACACUUAAUGAUCAUGGAGAUUAUUGCCCGUUUGAGAUCUGGAGAAUGUUGAUGACUUCCGUCUCCCGCAACAAGCAUCGGAAGCGCUAGGAUGUAAAAGAAAGAAGGAUGAACCGUUAACGCGACGCACGGGUGCCGUUCGAUGAUUAUUCGACCGAGUGUCUGUUUUCUGAUGGGAUAUAUCUCCUGUUGCAGUAGGUGGUUCCUUCUAUCGCUUCGCGUACGGACCACGUGCCACGCUGAUCCUCCCUCGUUGAUUCUCUUUCUUCCAUUGCCGUCGUCCAGACGGCUUUAAGGAGAGAUGAAAAAAAUGAAGGGGACGGAAAAAGAGGAAGUGGACUAGACGAUGAGGGGGCUGAGGUCGUAGUCCUGAACAGUUUGCUGGUGGAUUCAUGGAAUUCAUUCCUCUACGCACUUUUAAUCGUGGCUCAUUGAAGAAUCCAGGCGCAAGAAGAUGCUCGUUGCACAUUAUCUCAAUCCUUUAAACAGUUUCCGUAGCGAUUAAUGAAUGACAUGGGAAGAACUAGUAACCGUUUUACUACACGGAAACCACCGGAAAGAGAGACUUGUAAUUUUCGUUUAAUAACGAGGCGGGAAACAUUUUUCGAAUCGCAUUGCAUUGGCGUUGUCUGAAAACAUUAUACUGUAUGAAAAUUCUACGAAGAAUGAUUAAGGUCGAUGAAGACGAAAAUGCGAUCUGUUGUCGUAACGAGGGAAAUCGGACAUCUCUAAGUAUAGCUCGUAUUUGCAUGCAGAUCAGGGACGGAUCGUACUGGGUUGCCAAGCUGCUACAACGUGCAAAGUCCACAAGCAAUCAUUUGUAUCUACUUCGAUGACGAUUACGAACUUGGCAAUGCUCGGAAAGAAGCGCCAUUGUUGCACAAUCAAAUUCCUUCUUUCGGCUUUGGGAUACUGAUUUCAAAAUUUCUCAUUGAGAAGUUUCUGUUAUUGUUACGAGAGUUUAUAAUACUUUAUAUGAGGUGUUUUCUAGGAUCAGUUAUCAUUAUCGAUCAGUGAUCUUAAAGGACUACGUAGGAUUUGCCAACGAGGAAAGCGAGAGCCUCGUGCCAAGAGCAUUUAAUGACACUUUAUGAAAGACACUGCGUGAAGCUAAGAGAGAUGGUUUUUGUCUUGUUUGUAAACAUACAACAAUGUAUAAUAGGAGAAAAGAUACACUACCAAUAUAGUAGUACACGAAAGACAAACUAAUCAAAACGAUAAAUAUUGUUAACUAGAUGCAAAGAAUAAUCAAAGAAGCAUGUAAAUAAAAUUAAAUAAUAAUACAAGAAGAUAAAUUAGAUGUAUCUAAUGACGUUUUAGAUGAGCAUGAAUUCACGAAAUUAAAACCAUGACCAUUUUGCAAACUCCUGGCCGACC